rnacentral:ncRNA from 1 species
UUUCGGGGCGGGGUGAAAUUCCCCACCGGCGGUACAGUCCGCGACUCCUCAGCAAAACACUGAGGACUGAUACGGUGAAAUUCCGUAACCGACGGUAAUUGCUUUUGCAUAAGUCCGGAUGAGAGAAAU